rnacentral:lncRNA from 1 species
AGAAUAAUGGUAAUAAGAAUCAAGUUCAGAAAAGCACUAAUACUAAGUCAGAAAUAAGUGUUGUUGCAGGAAAAUCAGAUGUCAAUGAUAAUGUCUUCAUAGUUACAGAUAAGACAUGCAGAUAAGAUGAGUGGCUUAUGAACUCCGUGUGUUCCUAUCAUAUCUAUACACAUAGAGAGGUGGAAUUGUAUUUAUGGGAAAUAUUAUAAGUGUACAGUUGUUGGCAUUGACACUAUUAGAGUACAGAUGUUUGAUGAAGUGCUGAGGAUUAUAUCUGAGGUUCGACAUGUUUCGGAUAUGAGGAAAAAAUCUG